rnacentral:rRNA from 1 species
GACGAACGCUGGCGGCGUGCUUAACACAUGCAAGUCGAGCGGUAAGGCCCUUCGGGGUACACGAGCGGCGAACGGGUGAGUAACACGUGGGUGACCUGCCCUUAGCUCUGGGAUAAGCCUGGGAAACUGGGUCUAAUACCGGAUAUGACCUCAUGACGCAUGUUGUGGGGUGGAAAGCCUUGUGCGGCCUAGGGAUGGGCCCGCGGCCUAUCAGCUUGUUGGUGGGGUGAAUGGCCACCAAGGCGACGACGGGUAGCCGGCCUGAGAGGGCGACCGGCCACACUGGGACUGAGACACGGCCCAGACUCCUACGGGAGGCAGCAGUGGGGAAUCUUGC